GGCGGCGGCGGCGGCGAGGAGCUGUGCCUUCCACCUCUCCAGCCCCGGCAGGACGGGGGCGGCCGCCGCGGGCCCGGGGCGGGGACAGCACGCAGCCUCGCCGCGCACACCCCCGCCCGGCAGCGGGCCCGACACCCGGGGCGAGCGGGAAAGCGGCGGCGGCGGCGGCGGCGGGGGAAGGAUGCAGGGGAAGAAGCCGGGCGGCUCGUCGGGCGGCGGCCGGAGCGGCGAGCUGCAGGGGGACGAGGCGCAGAGGAACAAGAAGAAGAAAAAGAAGGUGUCCUGCUUCUCCAACAUCAAGAUCUUCCUGGUGUCCGAGUGCGCCCUGAUGCUGGCGCAGGGCACGGUGGGCGCCUACCUGGUGAGCGUCCUGACCACCCUGGAGCGGAGGUUCAACCUGCAGAGCGCCGACGUGGGCGUGAUCGCCAGCAGCUUCGAGAUCGGGAACCUGGCGCUCAUCCUCUUCGUGAGCUACUUCGGGGCGCGUGGGCACCGGCCCCGCCUCAUCGGCUGCGGCGGCAUCGUCAUGGCCCUGGGAGCAUUGCUGUCGGCGCUGCCCGAGUUCCUGACCCACCAGUACAAGUACGAGGCGGGCGAGAUCCGCUGGGGCGCCGAGGGCCGCGACGUCUGCGCCGCCAACGGCUCGGGCGGCGACCAGGGCCCCGACCCGGACCUCAUCUGCCGCAGCCGGACCGCCACCAACAUGAUGUACUUGCUGCUCAUUGGGGCCCAGGUGCUCCUGGGCAUCGGUGCUACCCCCGUGCAGCCCCUGGGCGUCUCCUACAUCGACGACCACGUGCGGAGGAAGGACUCCUCGCUCUACAUAGGAAUCCUGUUCACGAUGCUGGUAUUUGGACCAGCCUGUGGAUUUAUCCUGGGCUCUUUCUGUACCAAAAUCUAUGUGGAUGCAGUCUUCAUCGACACAAGUAACCUGGACAUCACCCCGGAUGACCCCCGCUGGAUCGGAGCCUGGUGGGGCGGCUUUCUGCUCUGUGGUGCCUUACUCUUCUUCUCUUCCCUCUUGAUGUUCGGGUUUCCACAGUCUCUGCCCCCGCACUCAGACCCUGCCAUGGAGAGCGAGCAGGCCAUGCUCCCCGAAAGAGAGUACGAGAGACCCAAGCCCAGCAACGGGGUCCUGAGGCACCCCCUGGAGCCGGACAGCAGCGCCUCCUGCUUUCAGCAGCUGAAAGUGAUCCCGAAGGUCACCAAGCACCUGCUGUCCAACCCCGUGUUCACCUGCAUCAUCCUGGCCGCCUGCAUGGAGAUUGCAGUGGUGGCUGGCUUUGCCGCCUUCUUGGGGAAGUACCUAGAGCAGCAGUUUAACCUUACCACCUCUUCUGCCAACCAGCUGCUCGGGAUGACUGCAAUCCCAUGUGCCUGUCUGGGGAUCUUCUUGGGUGGUCUCCUGGUAAAGAAGCUCAGUCUUUCCGCCCUCGGGGCCAUUCGGAUGGCCAUGCUCGUCAACCUGGUGUCCACAGCUUGCUAUGUUUCCUUCCUCUUCCUGGGCUGUGACACGGGCCCUGUGGCUGGGGUUACUGUUCCCUAUGGAAACACCUCAGCGCCUGGCGUGGCCCUGGACCCCUACUCACCCUGCAAUAAAAAUUGUGAAUGCCAAACCGAUUCCUUCACUCCCGUGUGUGGGGCAGAUGGCAUCACCUACCUGUCUGCCUGCUUCGCUGGCUGCAACAGCACGAAUCUCACCGGCUGUGCGUGCCUCACGACCGUCCCGGCCGAGAACACAACUGUGGUUCCCGGAAAAUGCCCCAGUCCCGGGUGCCAAGAGGCCUUCCUCACCUUCCUGUGUGUGAUGUGUGUCUGCAGUAUGAUCGGGGCAAUGGCGCAGACACCCUCAGUCAUCAUCCUUAUCAGGACAGUCAGCCCUGAACUCAAGUCUUACGCCCUGGGAGUCCUGUUCCUCCUCCUCCGUUUGUUGGGCUUCAUCCCCCCUCCCCUCAUCUUUGGGGCCGGCAUCGACUCCACCUGCCUGUUCUGGAGCACGUUCUGCGGGGAGCAAGGCGCCUGCGUCCUGUACGACAACGUGGCCUACAGAUACCUGUACGUCAGCAUCGCCAUCGUGCUGAAGUCCUCUGCCUUCGUCCUCUACACAACCACGUGGCAGUGCCUGAGGAAAAACUAUAAACGCUACAUCAAAAACCACGAGGGCGGGCUGAGCACCAGUGAGUUCUUUGCCUCUACUCUGACCCUAGACAAUCUGGGGAGGGACCCUGUGCCCGCCAGCCAGACCCAUAGGACAAAAUUUAUCUAUAACCUUGAAGACCAUGAGUGGUGUGAAAACAUGGAAUCUGUUUUAUAGUGACUAAGGAGGCUGAACUCUGUAUUAGUAAUCAAAGGGUCAUUUUUUUCCUAAAAAAAAAAAAAAAUUUUCAAAAAAAAGCCCACAAAACUCAGUACAGAGACACACACACCACACGUACACACACCACCACCUUUGUCCUUUUUCUCAAAAUCAGAGCCAGACAGGAUUCAGAAUAAGGAGAGCACGGGAUCGUGUGUCUGACGUACGACCUGCUGGGGCCCAGAGUCUUCUCUUUGAAGGUUCUUCGGGAUGCCGAUCGCCGCAAGCAACAGGCACGGCCAAGUUCAGGGAACAGUGGUGGCCCAGCUUGGAGGAUGGACAUUUCUGGAUAUACAUACACACACAAACCAUUUUUUUAAAAGUCUACUAAAAAGCCCAAGUUGACAACAUUGCCAGGAUAAACACUAGUGACAUACCCCGUGCCACCCGCCCCCUCCAUGCAAGGGUGGGGGGGUGUGCAAGUCGGAGCGGGAGCCCCCCCCUCCUCUAACUUUUGCAAUAUGGGUCACUGUGUAGACGACUCACCCAGUCUGCAUGUGGUUCAAGGCCCCAGAGUUCUCUCAGCGAUGCUAAUGGGUGAUCCGUGCUGGAGUCUGUAAUUGGCACCUCUCACCAGCUCCAUGUUCAAGACUGAGGGCCCAAGGGGGAGCCGGGCGUGGGGGGGCCAGCACCCCACCUCCCCCCACAGCACCCCCCAGCCCCACAGAGUGACCUCAGGAAGCAGCGGGCCUCACCUGGCUAUGACUGACUUUGCUCAGAGCCGGUGAAACCCAGCACAGUCCAAGUCAUUUGCUUACAUUUGCCAAACGUUUUGCCAUUUAAAAAAAAAAAAUGCAAUGCAUAUGAAUUUCAAACUGUUGUAUGUAUAAUCCUCUAAUACUAUUUUUAACCACUUCUAAAAUCUGUGUUAACUCUUCAAGUCACUGACACAGUUCUCUAGGCUGAGUUUAUUAUGCUGGUUGCUUUUACUUUUCUCCUUUUUUUAAUGCACCAAAAAUAUAAUGUGAUUCAAGGGAUGCAAUUAAUCUAUUGUAAUUUUUGUUUUAUCAUUUGGUCCUCAUUCGGAUAUUCUGCAAAAACAAGGAUAUACAGUGUGUUAGAAGAAGAAGAAGAAGAAGAAAUGCUUGGAGAAAGAGUGUAUAGGCAGCUUGCCUUUAAAAGAAUCACAUUUGAGACAACAGGGGAUAAUGUGAUGAAUUGCAAAUUCGCCUUCUGGCUUUAUUCCCCAUGAUUCAGUGAUCGCUGUCAUGGGAAGCCCUUUUAUAUUCAUGCUUCACAUUUCGAGAGGCCUUCUUUUCAACCCGUGGAGGAGACACACUUAGAUGUUGGUUGUGUGCAGGGGUGCGGUGCUUCUGGGGCUAGGCAAGAGGAAAAGCAGUUCCCUGGCCCCAGCUGUGGGGCGGUCUGUGACGGCGAACAGACCCGCAAGGUCGCGGAAGCUACCGCUUGUCCGAUGCAUUAACAUGUCUCUGUUUUCAGGGUCAGUCUUGAACAAAGAGGCCUUUGUUUCGAAAGUGGCCAAACCUCAAACAGCUAGCAAGCAAACCUCAUUGUUUGGGAUGAGAAUCUUGGGAAAACCUCUCACAGUCAAGCAGCCUCAGCCUCAUAAGGCCACGUCCAUAAGGGGACAGAGCUUAUGCGAGAGCGUGUGCACACGCGCACACACACACACACACACACGGCCCGUUUAACGUACCUUUCGUGUUUCUUCAGUGACCUUUGUCCGGGCCACUUGUGGCCCUGGGGAAGCUCUCAGGGGUGGUUUGGUUGGCUGUUUGCCUUUUCACCUCAGACACAUAUUUGCAGUUCACCCAGAGGAUAACAAAAGAAUCAGGAAAGAAAAGAGUGGAGGCUCUGAAGAGAGGGCUGUUGUGCCACAUUUCUAACAUACACCGUUAAUGGGGCAGUUUGAGUGACAGCCCGAAAGCAGAGAAAGCACCACCCAGCAAGGAGGACCCAGAGAGAAGCUGGUGUCCCGGUGCGGGGCCACCAUGAUCAGCUGCCUGGGACAGGAUGCUUCCAAAACACUCCCACGCGUUUACUUUUAGUCUGUCCUUGUCGGUGAGCACGGGGACAGUCAUCAAUGUGUUAACUAGUAAAAGGAGGGAUUGUUCUCCAAGCGAUUCAUAAAAUAUGUAUGCUCUGUCACUCCAAAGGUUUUGAAACCUUCCUGUACAGGUUUGGGGGUAGUGUUGCUCUGAAAUGUAUUGCUAACAGGGCACUGCCGUCUGCAUAGCUCUCCAAAACUCAGUACGCACACAGCGAGGCCCGAUGACCUGUUUUCACAGGGCCAUUUGCUUAAAAAAAGCUUUUUGAAAACGCUUUGCAUUUUUGGAUUUUUUUUUUUCCCCCUAAGAUUUUAGGAUGAAUGAGAUGUUAGGAUGAAAAAGGAAAACACUGCCAGGGCUCAAUUUUGUCAACAAGUAGGUAUGAACCGAAAGCCGUCUAUUGCGAGAUGGCUCUAAAGUGCGUUGUGUUACCUUUUAGGGUUUUAAUUUCUCUCCUACUACAGAACAGAAAACGUAGUCUGGUUUUAGUGUUUCCUUUUGUGCUGCAAAGAAUCAUUGUACAUACAGUGUUAGAUCGAGCUCCUCGGUUAUUUGUUUGGUUUUGAGUGAAUGAAAAGAUUCCCUGCUAAGAGCCCCGCUGGACUAACAGAAAACAAAAACUUAAGGGAAAGAAUAAACCUAGAAGGUUAAUGCUAAGCUUCUCUCUCUCCUGCUACAAACUCCUCCGCCAUCUUGGUCGAACGUGCCCAGAGAUGGAUGAAAAAGCCUCUCUUUGCUGCGACUUUUGACAGACUUGUGUAACUCCUACGUAUAUAGGCUAAGUUUUUUGACCAAUAUCAUGCCUGCGUGUGAAGCGAACACCCUUUGUAAGAGUGGGUUUCCCUCUGGGGGAUGGGGUUUCGGUGUGUGCUGACAGGAAGACCAGCGGCCUGGCCCCCUCCACGCCUCCGCCGAGGAAGGCUGUGAAGCGCCAAGGCACCCUGGGGAUGCUGCCACUCCAGAAGGCCACAGCAUGUGGGCUUUCCUCACAGCUAAUGAAGGAGCAAGAGAGGCUUCCACUCACGGUCCCCCCUAAGGAGUUUGCUAGUAGCGCUUAGCAGGCAGAUUAAUAAGGGGAAGCCAAGAGCUUCUAAGGAAUCCUUUGACAGACUUGUUAAUGUCUUCCAAGUAGGAAGGAGUGUGCUGCUCCAUAAAAGUCACUCUUUUCUCACCACUUUACAGUAGAAUAGCUUCCUCUAGUGAUGAGUUUUAAAGUUAGGCCUGUACAUUGUAAAGUGGUGUCUAUCCAUUUAAAUCCCUGAUUCCACUUCCCUGUCUCCAGUCGUGACCUAGAACUUCCCCUCAGGCAUGGCAAGAUUUUCCCAUCCCUUCCCCUUGGAAAGCUGCCACUCCAGAAGGCCACAGCCCGCAGGCUGUCCCCACAGCUAAUGAAGGAGCCCGAGAGGCCCUCUGAGGUGACCCGCAGAAACGUUGCAUACGGGGGCAACCAGCCAGUCCCCAGGAUGAUCCCUAGUCCACUCCCGAGGAACCUUCUCAGUAAGAGGAUUCAGCCAUGGUUGCUAACCAUCAUCACCCCCACCACAACCACCACCACCAUGACCAGCCUUCUGGAGCAGGCCAUUCAUUGGGGAGCAUAUAAAAUGGGGGGAGAAGUAAAAUACACACGCACACUCACUGAGAAACCCUCUGAGGAAAAGUCAUUGUUGGCUUCGAUGAACCUGCAAGCUGGUCUCCUCGCUGUAUGCUGUUCAGGUCCUUCUAAGUGUGAUGUCUUCUCCACCCAGUCAGGCCUACCGGACCUGAACCAUAAGCACUCCUCAGCAGCGUUCAGCAAUACAGGUCAAUGUGUAGAAAUCAGCAGGCUGAUCAGAGGGAGAAGGACAGGAUAAACUUGUACCAUUUGGUGACAUUCCGCUCGAGUGUUGUUUGUGUAUUCGGUUGGGUUUGUUUUGAAUGAAGGGAGAAAGCCACACAAGCUGUUUUUCAGACCAGCAGAGAAUAUGUGCUGUCUUGUGGUGUUCUUAUCUGACCAUUGUGAUCGCUCAGAAAAUUCCAGACAUGCAGUAGGGGCUUGAUUGCUGAGCCCUCUCCUCAGCCUGCUCUCAACCAUGAUGUGUUGUUUCCCUGUAGGUUAGAAUCCAGGGCGAAUACUUAAGAGGUGCCACGUUGUCCAAGAGAAGGUGCUGGUGAAAUGAAGUCCAGCCUGGAAAGUUAGUUUGGAACAUAAACAUAGUCCUUACCCUCCGAGCUUUCUCUUGUUCGUUGUCCCAUCACUGCUCAGUCCAAGUUCUUGAGUUCUGAAGGUACAAGGACCUAACCUCUUUGAACAGCUGUCCCUGAUGAUAGCCUUCAGACCCAGCCCCCAUGGGGGAUUAUGGUUGCUCAUGAAUAAUUCGGCAAGACAGAAGGAUCUCUAACUGGUAGAAUGUGCAACAAGAUAUUCUUGUUCAGAUGUGUCUCGGGGGCCUGUUGCCCCGGGUUACACGUGGAAUCUACACUAUCUGCACACACAGCCACCCACCCACACCUCCCGUUUCUCACGUUUGUAGGUGACCUCAGAGUGCUUGGUCAUCGUGGCAGGAAGGGGUUACAAAGACUAAAAUGGCAAAUUCAGAAAAGCAAAGAUUGUCCUGUACCUCAGCCAGCCGCGACUGCUCUGGAGACAGACAGAACUACCUCUCAGAGACCAUCCACAUGGUAGCUCAGUUUUCCUUUGCACAGUUGUCGCCAUUAGGGGAUGUAUUGCAUGAACUUGAUAUCUUCUAAAGAUGUAUUCCUUCAUUCCUUUAUUAAGAUUUUGACAAUAUGCCAGGCCAUGGGCCAGAUAUGAAGACGAAAAGACAUGGUUCCAUCCUCCAAGAGCUCACAGUUCAGUGAGCCAGACAGACCUGAACAUAAAAGCAAUAGAAUGAUUAUGUGAAGAGCCCAGCUCUGACUGGGCCCAAGGAGGGCUGAGAAAUGGUGGUGGUAAGUUUGGCUUCCUGGCAUCGAGAAUCAGGAAGGUUUGAGAGAUAGAGGCAUGGUCCAGAACCAAGAACUAAAGAGCAGUGGGUGGCUGCCAGAGAGCUGGGGGAGAAGGUCGCCUCUACAGAGAGGGCCACCAGAACAAGUUGACAAACUUUCUGUAAAGGGCCAGGUGACAAGCAUUUUAGGUUUUGAGGGCAUAUGGUUCAGACCACUGAACUCUGUUACAGCAUGAAAGCCGCUCAAGUGUAAACAACUGUGUAGGCUGUGUUCCAAUAAAGCUUUAUUUACAAAGACAGGCAGUGGCCAAGGGCAGUCAUAUGCAGAGGUCUGAAGUCACACAGCAGGGUUGGGGGGUAGGGGACUCUAACAGCCAAGGCUGCCGUGGCAUAUGCCAAGUUAUGUGUUGGAAGGGUCCUGUAGCCAGGUGCCCAUCAGCCCUGAUGUUACCACAGGAAUUCAUGCAGGUAGCCCAUUUUCCAGGAAUGAGGUGAGUACCCCAUCACUGUCAGGAUUUGCAAAUGAAGGCAACAUCAUCUUGCUCUCUGUGGACUGGAAUUGGAACUACAGGAUCUGAUCUACAUAGUUCGACCACAAUAAUUGUCCUUUUUUUCUUAAGCGAUAAAAUAGGGAUGGGAGGAAGAAAUGUAGGAAUGGGUGAAAAAAGUAAAUCCAAAUAGUAUUUCGAAUCCCUGUCCACCAACACAAAACACUGGCACCAUGGAGCUAAUAGAUACACCAGGUGGAAUAAUUGGUAAGCACUAAUAAUAACUAAUAAUAGCUAACAUUUACCAAGCACUUACCGUGAACCAGCUUAUUACACGUAAUAGCUCACUUAAUCUCAGCAAGAACCCUGUGAGGCAGGAACUGUUUCUAACAUCAGUUUACAGGAGCAGGAAACGAGGUAGGGAAGGCUUCCAGGAUUGGCUCAAGGCCACAAAGCAGAGCUAAGAUUCGAACCCAGGUCUGUGAAUCCAAAGCCCGUGAUCUUUGGCUUUACGGGCAUCCCCUGCAUAUACUGGGCAAGAUGUGAGCCCACACCCCACACCCCGCUCCCGUAGGGACUGCCUCAGCAGGAAGACUCUGGCUUAGGAAGACUGUGGGUUCUACACACUCUCACGUGCCCCCUCAUGUAACAACCAGCAUACCAUGACAGGUGUCUUCCAAGGACUUCCGUCCUUCCUGUGUUCCUGGUCUUGACCACAGAGCCCAGUGAUCAAUUUCUAUGGGGUGGUAUACGAGAAGCAGGUAAGAGGAAACAGGAGAUUCCUUUGCUCUGAUGCAUUCUGAGAUGCCAGGGAGGCAUUCCUCAGUGCUGGUCAUCGGCUGCAAUGGGGAGACUCCAGACACCCCUCCGCCAUGGUGCGUAACAUCUACCUCGGGAGUUUGGCUCUGCCCCAGGGCCCUCAGACACACCAACACUGGUCACUGGUUGAAUAGGUCUUGCUCUGUUAUCAGAUAUUAAGCUUUUAGGAAGAGAGUUUCUAGACAUUUCUAUUUUUGCAUUAAUGACUCAGGCCAGCAAUCAGUGGUUGGUGAUUAGCAUAAAUUCUGAAUAUUUUUCCAUAAGGCAAAGAGAUUGUCUCCUUCUGCUACGAGCAAAUGGAAUAGUAAAUUUUCUGGAGGUUUAACAUUCCUGUAGGUUGAGAUCUUGCCAUCCCAUUAAGUCCCCCAAAAUAAUGUUUUUUUCUUAAAUUCAUGCUAACUUAAUAGAAGAGAGCUCUCGUGGUGAUAUGUUUGUGAGACUUUGGCUUUAUAAUCUAAGGCCAUAAGAUGAAUCAGAAAUGUGCAAUGUAGGAAGUUGCACUACAAAAGGAACCCAGCUAACAUAUAGAUUGGCCCAGCACCUUAAAGGAAGAAGGGGCUGGAGAGCUCACAUUUAAGAGCCUGCUACCCACAUGCCACAUGCCAGAAGGCAUGGUCCCAGGUAAUGCACCCAGCAGCUUUACACCCGGUAAAGGUAAGUAUCAUUUUUUCCACUUUUACAGGUCAGGAAACUAAGGUUCCGUAAACCCAAGCCUCUUAAAGUCACACAGGGAGUUAGAAAAGCCACCAGGAGCCAGCGCCAGGUCUGACUCCAGAACCUGUGCUCUUUCCACUAUACCACCAUGUAGCCACCAAAGUGAAUAUACAGACCUGCUUCUUAGAAAGCUUCAACAAGGCCAGCAGGACAUCUCUGGGGUAGGAAAUCCCACAGAAAUCUAGACUUCAUAGAGAAAAUGAGCCAAGAGCUGGAGGUGAGAACCUCUGCAAAAUUUUGCCGAUGGGCACGGGGAUCUAAAAUGAAAAGGAAAAAAAAAAACCUAUUUUGCUUUAGUAAUUAAACAUUAGAGAUCUUUAAACACACCCCUCCUUCCUUCUUCUACCUUAGCCACAUCGGGGGAAGUGUCCCUGCCACUCACCAUCCUCUACCUUAUUUGUUCUGGGCACAAGAACCCAGCUCUCUCACUUUUAUACCACCCUCCCCAGCUUCCUGGCCCCCAGGCUUCCAGCAAAACCCCAAGGCCACUUGACCCUCUCAAACACUGAGGAAUCAUGCUCCCAACCGCCCCCGAACACAUGAGCUGCCUUCCAUAAGCCAGCUCUCAGCUGCAAAACCCUGAGGACAAGAGUGACAUUUCCACGCUGUCACCUUUUUGUAACACCGGGUCGGAGUCUUAAAGAGGACAAGUAAAUGAGCAGGGAUUUGUAUGGUCCCACUGUGCUUAUCAUUGAACAGCAAAGGUGUGUGCUCUGCUCAAUGGGACCUGCCCAGCUUAUAAAUCAUCGCAGGGACUAGCUGGGUCUUUAAUGCCUUUUAAGUGAAGCCACAGCAUCUAUUUUGGAAGUGUGGCAUAGGCUUAAAAACUCUGCUCCAGUGAGGAGACUGUGUGACUCAGCGUGCGGUGAAUCCUGUGGCUGAAAAGAAAACAGAACGUCCGGGAUGCUGGAGGACAAAGCAUGACAUUAUGACGCUAGAGGUAUUCUCUGGCGCUCAGCCACAUCUUCAGCAGAAGAUUGCGGCGACAUUUGGAGUCCCAGAACACAAGGCUUGUCACUGGUGAUUUAUAGGAGAUGAGGACAAGUUAAUGACUGGGAUACAUCUUAUUCGUUCCCAUAGAAGAAACAGCCAGCACAGAGUACCAAGACAUUGAGACUGAGAAAACCUGCCCUGAGUCACAUUCACCUUCAGAAGACUCCUUUGUGAGAAGCUGAGGGCCUGGCCCUCCUCCUCCUCCUCCUCCAGAGAACAGCCCGCCAUUAUCCACAGACCUCGCAGGCCUGACUUAGCGUGCUCUGCCCUGCCCGAGAACCCAAGGGUCCCUGUGUGGAUUAUCUGGCCAGAAUGUGGUCCUUUAAGGCCCCAAGCAUAGGCCUGUGAUGAGGACUAAGGAGGUGGCUGUGGUCAGGAGUCCUCUAAACCCUUGGGGUAGGGCAUUUUUCCCAGGUCGCCAAAGAGUAAUGUUGACUAAGUGUGCAAAUUCCCUUUGGCCCAUCCCUCCCUUGGCUCCUGUGGGGACAUCCUGCUGACACGCUUUAGAACCCCCUCCCCCCCUUCUUCAGGCUGCUUCUCUGACGGAGGGCUCCAGCAGCUCUUCCGAAAAACCAGCCAAGGCUGGAUUGCAAUGAGGGGGUGGCAAAAAUGACCCUGUUUCACAGAAGGGAGGGGAAAAAAAGCACAUACUCAAUAGAUUUUGAGUGUGGUAUUCUGUAUUUUUGCAGCUUAUAUUUUCCAGAUGAGCAGUUUAGAAUACGUGAUGUAAAGUACACACUGUACAUUUGCUGAAAAUUAUAUUAAAAGCACUAUUUUAAUUCUU